rnacentral:rRNA from 1 species
AUGGAGGGUGCAAGCGUUAUCCGGAUUCACUGGGUUUAAAGGGUGCGUAGGUGGGUUAGUAAGUCAGUGGUGAAAUCUUCGAGCUUAACUCGGAAACUGCCAUUGAUACUAUUAGUCUUGAAUAUUGUGGAGGUUAGCGGAAUAUGUCAUGUAGCGGUGAAAUGCUUAGAUAUGACAUAGAACACCAAUUGCGAAGGCAGCUGGCUACACAUAUAUUGACACUGAGGCACGAAAGCGUGGGGAUCAAACAG